UAUUUAGUAGUUUAAAUUAAAAUGUAUCAUUGAAGAUGUUAAGAUAACAACUUGUUCUAAAUUA
rnacentral:tRNA from 1 species